rnacentral:lncRNA from 1 species
AAAGUAUCAUUCCUUCAGAGCUCCAAGGCAACCAUGCUGUACCUGCCCACUGGAAAGUGGGCGGGGAUUAGGCCAGAAUCACUAAAAAGUUGUCUUUUCCUCUCUUGGGCUCUCUCCGGGCCCCUUUUCUUUUCUCCUCCUCUCCCUGCUUAUUUCCCCUCCUUCCAUUCUUACUCUUUUUCAGUGGGCUUGUCUGCCUCUCUCAAAUGAAGAUCUCCAUGUACCCUCAGGGGGAAAUCCAUUACAAAGCCACCAACCUCAGGCCUGAGGGUGCCAGAGGAAUCUAUAUCAAUCACAUCUAUUGAGUGCUUACUGUGAGCAUCGUACUAAGCGCUUGGAAUGGAAAAUAUAAUAGAGUUGGUAGACAAGUUCCCUGCCCAAACUGUCAUUUCCUGUGGUCCACCCCUCCUACCAAAUCACAUCCCCAGGCCUUCACUUCCUGCCCCAUGACAUCCUAUGUCUCCCAUCCUGUCCAAUCACAUUCAGCUGCUCCCUUUCUGGUGCCCCCUCAGAGCCCUGCCCCAAACCCAGGGGGAUUCCUAACCAACUGCCAAACCAUGACACGAGUUCCGGACUCCCCAACCAUACCCCCUGACUAGUUCUGAUGCCCUCUGCAACAGUUGGACAACUCCCUGAGCUGGUACAGGGCCAUGCAGCCCCGAGGGUUGGGGAGGAUAGGGAGGAAAAAGAAGAAUCGGGCUACUAGUGCCAAUCUACCUGGGCUCGAGUACAAGAUCUCUCAACUGACCAAUCCAGGCCCGAAGCCCAAUUCAUCUCGGACAGGCGGCUGCAGUCAAAAUGAAAGAAAGGGUUCUGAUGAAGCAGAGAGGAAGAGUUUCUCAGAAACCCAGCCAGGAGCCCGAGCCUCAUCUGCCCACUCCAGGAGCCAGAAGGGAGGGGUGACCGAUAAUGCUGGCAAUAACUGGGAAUAA